rnacentral:rRNA from 1 species
AACGAACGCUGGCGGCAUGCCUAACACAUGCAAGUCGAACGAGAUCUUCGGGUCUAGUGGCGCACGGGUGCGUAACGCGUGGGAAUCUGCCCUUUGGUUCGGAAUAACAGUUGGAAACGACUGCUAAUACCGGAUGAUGACGAAAGUCCAAAGAUUUAUCGCCAGAGGAUGAGCCCGCGUAGGAUUAGCUAGUUGGUGUGGUAAAGGAGCACCAAGGCGACGAUCCUUAGCUGGUCUGAGAGGAUGAUCAGCCACACUGGGACUGAGACACGGCCGGGACUCCUACGGGAGGCAGCAGUGGGGAAUAUUGGACAAUGGGCGAAAGCCUGAUCCAGCAAUGCCGCGUGAGUGAUGAAGGCCUUAGGGUUGUAAAGCUCUUUUACCCGGGAUGAUAAUGACAGUACCGGGAGAAUAAGCUCCGGCUAACUCCGUGCCAGCAGCCGCCGUAA